GACGAACGCUGGCGGCGUGCUUAACACAUGCAAGUCGAACGGAAAGGCCCCUUUGGGGGUACUCGAGUGGCGAACGGGUGAGUAACACGUGAGUAACCUGCCCUUGACUUCGGGAUAACUUCAGGAAACUGGGGCUAAUACCGGAUAGGAAUCCUUGCUGCAUGGUGGGGGUUGGAAAGCUUCGGCGGUUUUGGAUGGACUCGCGGCUUAUCAGCUUGUUGGUGGGGUAGUGGCUUACCAAGGCUUUUACGGGUAGCCGGCCUGAGAGGGCGACCGGCCACAUUGGGACUGAGAUACGGCCCAGACUCCUACGGGAGGCAGCAGUGGGGAAUAUUGCACAAUGGGCGGAAGCCUGAUGCAGCAACGCCGCGGGCGGGAUGACGGCCUUCGGGUUGUAAACCGCUUUCAGCAGGGGCGAAGCUUGUGGUGACGGUACCUGCAGAAGAAGCACCGGCUAACUACGUG
rnacentral:rRNA from 1 species